AUUGAACGCUGGCGGCAUGCUUUACACAUGCAAGUCGAACGGCAGCGCGGGCUUCGGCCUGGCGGCGAGUGGCGAACGGGUGAGUAAUGCAUCGGAACGUGCCCAGUAGUGGGGGAUAGCCCGGCGAAAGCCGGAUUAAUACCGCAUACGACCUGAGGGUGAAAGCGGGGGACCGAAAGGCCUCGCGCUAUUGGAGCGGCCGAUGUCGGAUUAGCUAGUUGGUGGGGUAAAGGCUUACCAAGGCGACGAUCCGUAGCUGGUCUGAGAGGACGACCAGCCACACUGGGACUGAGACACGGCCCAGCCUCCUACGGGAGGCAGCAGUGGGGAAUUUUGGACAAUGGGGGCAACCCUGAUCCAGCCAUGCCGCGUGCGGGAAGAAGGCCUUCGGGUUGUAAACCGCUUUUGUUCGGGAAGAAAUCCUCUGGGCUAAUACCCCGGGGGGAUGACGGUACCGGAAGAAUAAGCACCGGCUAACUACGUG
rnacentral:rRNA from 1 species